rnacentral:rRNA from 1 species
CCCUUAGAUGUUCUGGGCCGCACGCGUGCUACACUGAUGCAUUCAACGAGUCUAAAACCUGGUCUGAUAGGGCUGGGUAAUCUUUUGAAAGUGCAUCGUGAUUGGGAUAGAUGAUUGCAAUUCUUCAUCUUCAACGAGGAAUGCCUAGUAAACGCAAGUCAUCAGCUUGCAUUGAUUACGUCCCUGCCCUUUGUACACACCGCCCGUCGCCCCUACCGAUUGAAUGAUCCGAUGAAUACCAUGGAUUGAGAGUACGAAUAGGUUCGCUUAUUUCUGCUGCUCGAGAAGUGGAGUAAAUCUUAUCAUUUAGAGGAAGGAGAAGUCGUAACA